CCAGGUCUUUAGAUAAUAACAUAACUUCUUCAACCAAUUGCCAAUGAGAAGAUCUUUGAAUCCACCUAUGACCGUAGAAGAGGAAUCAACUCCGGUUUUUUUUAACUACAGAGACGCUUUGCUCAUCCAGAAAAAGACUCCGUUGUCUUCCUCCGUGUAACUCUUUUGCCAUAGAUGUUGUGGAGUGUAAGAAUGUAAACUGUUGCUUUUGCUGGGAUGUCAUCAUUUUGCAAAUCACAGAGGAAACUUGAGUCCCACAGGGAGAGUGGAACUUACGUAAUAAAGCAACUGGUAUUUUGUCUGAUAGUUCCAGCCAUGCCUUCCCAUAGCAACUGUAAUUCAGCAUCUCUAAGAAAAAUUGUGAUUUUUGACAAGGAAGAAAAUCAACAUCCAAUGUUAUUUCUCAAGUAAUUGCAAGAUGUUAAUACUUCAUAUUCACUCCAUACACCACCAUUUUUGGAAAAAACGUUCUGUGAUUAUUCUUUUGCUAAACUUUAUGCAUAAUGAACACACAAAGGUAAGACAUUUCCAAGACAAUAUUUUAAAUAAGUACAGAUCAAUAUAAGACUUUGUGUGUGCUCUAGAUGUAUAAGCUGCUUCUUCAUGUUGUCCUUUGUAUGUAUCAUGGUAAGAUUUAUAGCCACAUGGUAAACAAUGAACACUGAUGUGGAGAAAUGUUGCUUUUCCAUUGGGUAUUUUUCUCUCUCCAUUUUUUAUUAACCAUAAACACCUUAGCAUUUAAAUUUUAUUUUUUAAUUUAUUAAAAAAUUAACAUACAGUAAAUGUCACCUUUUGGUAUACAGUUCUAUGAGUUUUGACAAAUUCAGAAAGCCAUCUUACCAUCACCUAGAUAAUAACAGUUUCAUCCCACAAAAAAAUUUUCUCCUUGUCCUUUGUAGUCAAAUCCUCUCUCUCUCCUUAGCUUCUGGUAAACAUGAAUCUGUUCUCCAUCCUUUGUUUUUUUUUUCCAGACUAUAAUACAAAUAGAAUCAUACUGGGUGGAGCUUUUUGGGUCUGGAUUCUUUGGCUUACAAAAUAAUGCAUUUAAGAUUCAAGUAUGUUAAUGCAUGAAUCAAUACACAUCCCUUUUUGUUGCUGAGUAGUAUUCCAUUGUAUGGAUGUAUCACAAUGUUUUUUUACCCAUUUGCUAAUUGAAGGAUUUGUGGGUUGUUUCCAGUUUUUGGCAAUUAUACAUUAUGAU
rnacentral:lncRNA from 10 species